rnacentral:rRNA from 1 species
UGGGGAAUUUUGGACAAUGGGCGAAAGCCUGAUCCAGCAAUGCCGCGUGUGUGAAGAAGGCCUUCGGGUUGUAAAGCACUUUUGUCCGGAAAGAAAUCCUUGGCUCUAAUACAGUCGGGGGAUGACGGUACCGGAAGAAUAAGCACCGGCUAACUACGUGCCAGCAGCCGCGGUAAUACGUAGGGUGCAAGCGUUAAUCGGAAUUACUGGGCGUAAAGCGUGCGCAGGCGGUUUGCUAAGACCGAUGUGAAAUCCCCGGGCUCAACCUGGGAACUGCAUUGGUGACUGGCAGGCUAGAGUAUGGCAGAGGGGGGUAGAAUUCCACGUGUAGCAGUGAAAUGCGUAGAGAUGUGGAGGAAUACCGAUGGCGAAGGCAGCCCCCUGGGCCAAUACUGACGCUCAUGCACGAAAGCGUGGGGAGCAAAACAGGAUUAGAUACCCUGGUAGUCCACGCCCUAAACGAUGUCAACUAGUUGUUGGGGAUUCAUUUCCUUAGUAACGUAGCUAACGCGUGAAGUUGACCGCCUGGGGAGUACGGUCGCAAGAUUAAAAACUCAAAUGAAUUGACGGGGUCAUAGCUGUUUCCU